CCUACGGGCGGCUGCAGUGGGGAAUAUUGCACAAUGGGCGCAAGCCUGAUGCAGCCAUGCCGCGUGUGUGAAGAAGGCCUUCGGGUUGUAAAGCACUUUCAGCGGGGAGGAAGGCGGUGAGGUUAAUAACCUCAUCGAUUGACGUUACCCGCGGAAGAAGCACCGGCUAACUCCGUGCCAGCAGCCGCGGUAAUACGGAGGGUGCAAGCGUUAAUCGGAAUUACUGGGCGUAAAGCGCACGCAGGCGGUCUGUCAAGUCGGAUGUGAAAUCCCCGGGCUCAACCUGGGAACUGCAUUCGAAACUGGCAGGCUAGAGUCUUGUAGAGGGGGGUAGAAUUCCAGGUGUAGCGGUGAAAUGCGUAGAGAUCUGGAGGAAUACCGGUGGCGAAGGCGGCCCCCUGGACAAAGACUGACGCUCAGGUGCGAAAGCGUGGGGAGCAAACAGGAUUAGAUACCCCAGUAGUC
rnacentral:rRNA from 1 species